rnacentral:tRNA from 1 species
CACUAAGAAGCUAUUGUAGCAUUAACCUUUUAAGUUAAA